AAUUCUCAACCUACAAAUCUUUGCGGGUUUGUAGGCUUGGACUUGGAGGUUUUUGUUGGCUUCUCGCAAGUCGGCUCCUCUUAAAUGCAUUAGCCUGUUUCCUUGCGGAUCGGCUCUCGGUGUGAUAAUUAUCUGCGCCGCGACCGUGAAGCGUUUGGCUGGCUUCUAAUCGUCUCGCUCAAGAGACAGCUUCUUAUGAC
rnacentral:misc_RNA from 1 species